CCAAGGGUAUGGCUGUUCGCCAUUUAAAGUGGUACGCGAGCUGGGUUUAGAACGUCGUGAGACAGUUCGGUCCCUAUCUGCCGUGGGCGCUGGAGAACUGAGGGGGGCUGCUCCUAGUACGAGAGGACCGGAGUGGACGCAUCACUGGUGUUCGGGUUGUCAUGCCAAUGGCACUGCCCGGUAGCUAAAUGCGGAAGAGAUAAGUGCUGAAAGCAUCUAAGCACGAAACUUGCCCCGAGAUGAGUUCUCCCUGAGACUUUAAGUCUCCUGAAGGAACGUUGAAGACGACGACGUUGAUAGGCCGGGUGUGUAAGCGCAGCGAUGCGUUGAGCUAACCGGUACUAAUGAACCGUGAGGCUUAACCUUACAACGCCGAAG
rnacentral:rRNA from 1 species